rnacentral:rRNA from 1 species
CACGCAGGCGGUCGUGUAAGUUUGGGGUUACAGCUCCCGGCUCAACUGGGAGAGCGCCUUGAAGACUGCAGGACUUGAGGGCCAGAGAGGGACACAGAAUUCCGGGUGUAGUGGUGAAAUGCGUAGAUAUCCGGAGGAAUACCAAAGGCGAAGGCAGUGUCCUGGCUGGUGACCGACGCUGAGGUGCGAAAGCUAGGGGAGCGAACGGGAUUAGAUACCCCGGUAGUCCUAGCCGUAAACGAUGACCACUAGGUGUGGGAGGUAUCGACCCCUUCCGUGCCGUAGCAAACGUGAUAAGUGGUCCGCCUGGGGAGUACGGUCGCAAGAUUAAA